ACCAUCCUUUUCUUGGGGUUGCGCUACUGUCCAAUGAGCGCAUAGUGAGGGCAGUACUGCUAACGCCUAAACAACACACCCGCAUCAACUAGAGCUUUGCUUUAUUUUGGUGCAAUUUUUGGAAAA
ensembl:snRNA